rnacentral:lncRNA from 1 species
GAGAGACGGGUCAGUGGUUAAGAGCACUGUCUGUUUUUCCAAAGGCACUGAGUUCAAUUCCCAGCACCCACAUGGUGGCACACAAGCAUCUGUAAUUCCUGUUGCAGGGGAUCCAACACCCUCCUCUGACCUCUCCAGGCACUAUGUGCCUGCCUGGUACCCACACGCAUUCAUGUAAAACAAACAAACAAAACAUGACAAAACAAAAACACACAUAAAAGAAAAGAAAACAUUUUAAGACACUGUGAUGCAGUUAACAUUGCCAACUUGACAGGAUCUGGAAUCAUCUAGUAGACAAAUCUCUGAGCAUGAAUGUGAGUUUCUAAACUACGUUAAUUAAGAUGAGAAGACCCACCCUGAGGUGAGCAUCACUGUUCCAUGGGCUGGGGAGCUGGACUGAAUAAGAACGCGAGCUUGUCAACGUACAGAUCUCUCUGCUUCCCGACUAAGGAUGCGAUGAGACCAGCUCCUCCUACAGCUCUCGUUGCCAUGACUGUAUCCUGAACCUGUAAGCCAAAAUAGACACUUCUUCUCUUCAGUAGCUUCUUGUCUGGCAUUUUAUUCUAGCAAAGAGACAAGUAACUAACUCACACGCCCAUCAUUAUUGAUGCUCACAAACCCCACUGAGUGGGAUCAUACAGCUGUACUGUAUGACCUCAGUCAACAGCUGAUUGGUCAAGGAGAGAACACCUGACCCUCAGAGAGCCCACUCAUUGGCCAAUCAGACGUCCUGCGUCUGCCUUAGUCAGCCCCAGAACAGGGCAGGAAAUAACAUCACCUGUGCUCAACAGCUAAGCUACGGUGUCCAACACAGAUACUGGGGGAACUGUCCAGGAACUACAAACUCCAUAGUCAACGUGGGGAGAGGGAAGGUGCCCAGAAGGCCACUGAUGAAGAACAUAUCCUACUGCCGCAGCAGUGCCUUCCCACGUGGACUUGGCUUGAUUAUAACUGACUCGAAACCUAUCCAGUGAUUAAAGUGGCCGCCAGGCUCUGUUCUCCAGAGAGGCGAGCUGCGGGCUGAAUAAUUCAAGGCACCCCUUCCUGAAGGCUGGAGAAUCUGCAAGAAGAGCUGAGAGCAGAAAAGUGG